rnacentral:rRNA from 1 species
UUCCGGUUGAUCCUGCCGGACCUGACUGCUAUCGGAUUGAUACUAAGCCAUGCGAGUCUUUGUAGCAAUACAAGGCAGACGGCUCAGUAACACGUAGUCAAUCUAACCUAUGGACGGGGAUAACCUCGGGAAACUGAGAAUAAUACCCGAUAGAUCAUGAUGCCUGGAAUGGUUUAUGGUUCAAAUGAUUUUUCGCUGUAGGAUGGGACUGCGGUCUAUCAGCUUGUUGGUGAGGUAAUGGCCCACCAAGGCUAUAACAGAUACGGGCUCUGAGAGGAGAAGCCCGGAGAUGGGUACUGAGACACGGACCCAGGCCCUAUGGGGCGCAGCAGGCGAGAAAACUUUGCAAUGUGCGAAAGCACGACAAGGUUAAUCCGAGUGUUUUCUGCUAAAGAAAUCUUUUGUCAGUCCUAGAAAAACUGAUGAAUAAGGGGUGGGCAAGUUCUGGUGUCAGCCGCCGCGGUAAAACCAGCACCUCAAGUGGUCAGGAGGAUUAUUGGGCCUAAAGCAUCCGUAGCCUGCUUUGUAAGUUUUCGGUUAAAUCCAUAUGCUCAACAUAUGGGCUGCCGGGAAUACUGCACAGCUAGGGAGUGGGAGAGGUAGACGGUACUCGGUAGGAAGGGGUAAAAUCCUUUGAUCUAUUGAUGACCACCUGUGGCGAAGGCGGUCUACCAGAACACGUCCGACGGUGAGGGAUGAAAGCUGGGGGAGCAAACCGGAUUAGAUACCCGGGUAGUCCCAGCUGUAAACUAUGCAAACUCGGUGAUGCAUUGGCUUGUAGCCAGUGCAGUGCCGCAGGGAAGCCGUUAAGUUUGCCGCCUGGGAAGUACGUACGCAAGUAUGAAACUUAAAGGAAUUGGCGGGGGAGCACCACAAGGGGUGAAGCCUGCGGUUCAAUUGGAUUCAACGCCGGGA